rnacentral:lncRNA from 1 species
AAUAAAUUGUGUAUUUUUCCUGCUUAAAGUGCUUGUGGAUUCCUUGUAUUUCUUAUAGGCAGCAGAACUUGAUAGUUUUUGAUUAUGGAAAAAGCAGAGCCAGCUACAAUCCAUAGAAGAAUACUGAAACAGAUUAGAAUUAAUGAAAAAUUACUAUUUUUAAUCCAUUACAGACUCAGUUCAGUCUUUCCGAUGUCCAUUUUUCAGAUGACACUAUCGUGUCACAGCAAAAAAUAAUACUAUGGGAAGUCAAAUGAAGAUGCCUGUGAUUUGUUAUCCCUGACACUUGCAGAGAGCUCUUUAAGAAUAGAUCUAAUAUGUUGGACAAAUUGCCAGAUCUUGACGAAUGUCUGAACUAUGAAUCUAUGAUCAAUGAAGUUGAGCAUGAAAUGGAUACUUAUAGAGUGUAUCUCAGCAAUAAGUGCAUUCAAAAAUUCAAAUCGAUUUUAAAAAAUCAAGUUAAAAAGAGAUCAAUAAAGAAAAAUGAGACCUAUAAGACUCUUGGAGAUGUAGAAGUACCAGUCUGGGUGAGUCAUUUUUAAAUAAAGGAACGAAUUGUCUAGUCUCAGAAAAGACCAAUUAUGAUAAAAUUACGAUGGAUUUGGAUCCUAUUCUGGCAAGAAUAGAUCCAAAUCCAUCGAAAUCAUUGCUAGAUGAUGUGAAGCAAACAGGAUAAGAUGGUAGGUGGCUUUUGAAGUAGAGAAAGAGAAUAGGAGAUGCAAUAUUAGAACAACUGAUGAUAUCAUAUUUGGGAAAAUAUGCCAGUGGCUAGACAGGGAAGGUCUAAUAUGUAUGAGAGAUAAUAAAUCUAAGAAAAUUGUCAUCCUGAGAAAAGAGUAUUACAAUAGUAUACUUGAAGACUUCGAAAGAAGUGGUUUGAAAAGCCAAUAGAUAAACUACAAAGGGAAGUUAUCAAACUGAAUAAGGACCCCACACUCUUGAAAUUUCUCAGAAACACAAUUGUCAAGCACCAGCCUGCCCUUAUCUGUUUGGUUUCCCUAUGUUGCAUAAAACUUCUGUUAUAGCAAGAUCCAUUGUUGAAGAAUUUAGAUCCCUGUGCUACCAGAUAGAAAGGAAACUCACUGCAUGGCGUGUAGAGCACAUGAAAGAUUAUGAGUACAUUAUUUGCUCAACUCAUGAUGUCCUAGAUGUUUUUGACAUUAUAGGUCCCCUUCCUCAAGACCACGUCUGUUUUUGAUUAUGAAUCCCUUUAUCCCAUGAUAAAGAUAGAACCUGCAUAUCUAAAGCUAUACAGGUUUAUGAUAAAGCAUCUACCCUCCAAAUCUAAUAGGAAAAUGAUCAGAAAUUGUAUUUUACUGUCCAGGGAAAUUCUAUGUACAGAGAAUGAGGGUAUUGAUUGCUAGCCCACUAGAGGAGUUUUAGCUGAACUGAUUUUAAGAAAAAGGAAGAAGAGGUUCCUCUGAUUUUAUUGUCGAAAAUCAGCUGUACAGAUGGUACAUAGAUGAUGUGUUAUCUCUUGUGAAAGCAUGAUGGAAGACAGUUCAAUUUGAAAAUCUAUUCAUGGACCCUGCCUUAAGUAUUAAAUUAAAACUUGAAAGGAAGAAUGGACAUAGCUUUAAACUAUUUAAAUAUUACGAUUAUAAUUAAGGAGUGAAUACCACACAGAAGUCUACAGAAAAGUAAAACACAUUAUUCCUGAUUCCCAAUUGGUGAAUAUUUAUGUGAUUGAUUUUUGUAAUUGUAAUUGAGGAGGAGUC